rfam:Bacillus smithii strain DSM 4216, complete genome.
UGAUGGGGUAGAGGUCGCGGCUUUUAUGAGUAAUUCGGACGAGAUGCUGAGAACAUUGACGACUCCGAAGGAAAGGAAAGGCCGCCGAAGUCCGUCCUGUUCUCAGAAGGCGCGGGCUGGGGCUGUAUCCGAAUAGGAACAGAACUGUCACGCUUUUUGCCCGUAAAGCGUGGAGCACUACUGAAGAA